rnacentral:lncRNA from 1 species
ACAAAAAAAAAGAAAUAUUAAAUAUAUAUUGUAUUGUGUCAUCCAAUUGAGUGAUUCCUUUUUUUCUUCUAACCUUGAAAGUAUCGAUAGAUACUAUCGAAGAGCAGAUGCUAUGAAUCAAUUAAUUGAAAUUGUGUUCCUUUUUCAAAAAAAUCAUCGGAAAAAGUGAUCCAUUUGUUGUCAUUUAUACGACCAAAAUAUUAUGAUCAUGAUCAUUAAGAAUUCAACGGGACCCUUCCUCGCGAAUCAGACAAAGAAAGAGGAGGCGGGCCCCAUUGAGUUCUUACACUUUCAUGCCUUGUUGUUGCGAGAAUUCUUAAUUCAUGAGUUGUAGGGAGGGACUUAUGUCACCACAAACAGAGACUAAAGCAAGUGUUGGAUUCAAAGCUGGUGUUAAAGAA